GCAGAGCCCCGCGGCAAGGGAGUUGCGGGCGCACAGGAAUGGCAAUGUGGACCUCUGUGAUGGGACAUCUUGUGGGAUCUCACAGCCAGUUCUGUGGCAAAGGAGGAUGAAGGUUUAUGAGGACUCGUCAGGAAGCUGGAUAACAGAACGAGCGCAAUGUGCUAGAAGACCAGAAAAUGAAAUGGUGGAGUUUGAGGCUGGAUAGACAGUUUGAAAGGUAAGUAUUGAAAAACACUUGAAUUUGGGUCAGUACAAAGGGACAUGCAGAGACUUUGAAUCAUCAAAACUCCAGCAUGCAUUGUCCUACGGAUGUUUAGAUAGGUGUGUUUUGGAUAACACACGGGGUUCUUGUAAUGAUGUUGAUCAAAUGUCUGAGCUGAAAAUAACUUGUAGACAAUUUUUAACACUGAAGAACCCUGUGGCAGGCAACUAAGAAUAGUCGAAUGAUGUUUAGCAUAUUUGUAAGAGGUAUUUUCUUUUAAUUCUAGUUAACUGUGGUUGCAUGCUUGUUCAUUUGGCUGGCUUGCUUGGGUAAGAAGCCAUUGGGGGCCUUGAAUUCCCUCCAGUCAUUUGCAGUAUUUACUGCAUAACAUUUAGCUUUUGAACAUGCAUGUGCUACCAUCAGUACUAAAUGGUGCCUUAAAUUUUUUUCAGGUACAAAUGAUGGUUUGAAUAAAGGUAUAACGCACGGGUCGCCUCAAGUGAAGG
ensembl:processed_transcript Gas5 growth arrest specific 5